rnacentral:rRNA from 1 species
AUUGAACGCUGGCGGCAGGCCUAACACAUGCAAGUCGAGCGGAGCGGCGGACGGGUGAGUAAUGCCUAGGAAUCUGCCUGGUAGUGUGGGAUAACGUCCGGCAACGGGCGCUAAUACCGCAUACUAUCACAUUAGCCUAGGUCGGAUUAGCUAGUUGGGGGGGUAAAGGCCUACCAAGGCGACGAUCCGUAACUGGCUGGAGAGGAUGAUCAGUCACACUGGACUGGGGAAACGGUCAAGACUCCUACGGAAGGCAGCAGGGGGGAAUAUUGGCCAAUGGGCGAAAGCCGGAUCCAGCAAGGCGGCGUGGGGGAAGAAGGUUUUCGGAUUGUAAAGCACUUUAAUUUGGGAGGCGUUACCAAAAGAAAAAGCACCGGCUAACUACGUGCCAGCAGCCGCGGUAAUAC